rnacentral:rRNA from 1 species
GACGAACGCUGGCGGCGUGCCUAAUACAUGCAAGUUGAGCGCUGAAGGUUGGUACUUGUACCAACUGGAUGAGCAGCGAACGGGUGAGUAACGCGUGGGGAAUCUGCCUUUGAGCGGGGGACAACAUUUGGAAACGAAUGCUAAUACCGCAUAAAAACUUUAAACACAAGUUUUAAGUUUGAAAGAUGCAAUUGCAUCACUCAAAGAUGAUCCCGCGUUGUAUUAGCUAGUUGGUGAGGUAAAGGCUCACCAAGGCGAUGAUACAUAGCCGACCUGAGAGGGUGAUCGGCCACAUUGGGACUGAGACACGGCCCAAACUCCUACGGGAGGCAGCAGUAGGGAAUCUUCGGAAAUGGACGAAAGUCUGACCGAGCAACGCCGCGUGAGUGAAGAAGGUUUUCGGAUCGUAAAACUCUGUUGGUAGAGAAGAACGCUGGUGAGAGUGGAAAGCUCAUCAAGUGACGGUAACUACCCAGAAAGGGACGGCUAACUACGUG